rnacentral:rRNA from 1 species
CACCGGCGGCCCGAGUGGUAGCCGCUAUUAUUGGGUCUAAAGGGUCCGUAGCCGGUUCGAUAAGUCCUCUGGGAAAUCUGGUUGCUUAACAAUCAGACUGCCAAGGGAUACUGUCGAACUUGAGACCGGGAGAGGUAAGAGGUACUUCAGGGGUAGGAGUGAAAUCUUGUAAUCCCUGGGGACCAUCUGUGGCGAAGGCGUCUUACCAGAACGGGUCUGACGGUGAGGGACGAAAGCUGGGGGCGCAAAACCGGAUUAGAUACCCGGGUAGUCCCAGCCGUAAACGAUGCUCGCUAUGUGUCAGGUACGGUGUGACCGUAUCUGGUGCCGUAGGGAAGCCGUGAAGCGAGCCACCUGGGAAGUACGGCCGCAAGGCUGAAAACUUAAAGGAAUUGGCGGGGGAGCACUACAACGGGUGGAGCCUGCGGUUUAAUUGGAUUCAACGCCGGAAAUCUUACCGGGGGAGACAGCAGCAUGAAGGUCAGGCUGAAGACCUUACCAGAUCCGCUGAGAGGAAGUGCAUGGCCGUCGUCAGUUCGUACUGUGAAGCAUCCUGUUAAGUCAGGCAACGAGCGAGACCCGUGCCCACAGUUGCCAGCAUGCCCUUCGGGGGAUGGGUACUUUGUGGGGACCGCCGCUGCCUAAAGCGGAGGAAGGAGCGGGUUACGGUAGGUCAGUAUGCCCCGAAUCUCCCGGGCUACACGCGGGCUACAAUGGUUGGACAAUGGGCACCUACCCUGAAAAAGGGACGGUAAUCUCCUAAACCCAACCGUAGUUCGGAUUGAGGGCUGUAACUCGCCCUCAUGAAGCUGGAAUCCGUAGUAAUCGCGUUUUCAAACAUAGCGCGGUGAAUACGUCCCUGCUCCUUGCACACA